GCAUUGCGCUCUCGAAAUGCAUUUUGGGUCCGUCCGUUCAGACCUGUCCAUGGUUCAGAGUCGCACUCGCGACGCUCAUCCGUCGAAGGACGCAUGGUGUGUGGAACAAGCGUACAUAGGCCUACCUGAUCGCGUUCAUUUGUUCGCCUCCCUCCACCUCCCUCUCUCUCCGGUGCAUAUUUAAGCCACUUCUUCAGUGUCCCUGAAAAAACAAUAUGGGUGGUCCCUGGCAGCUGUUUUUGUAGUGCAGCUGAAAGAAAGAAACAAACAAACAAACCCGGUCAAGAAUUACCAACAUGGCGACGAUAAUUCCUACAAAUACUGAGUGAUGUAGUGGAUGGCUGGAAAGAAGAGAGGCAGCUUGAUGGACGAAGCGGCAGCUUCUGGUGCUACCGGCCUCACCAUCUCUCUCCUAAGCGCCCUCACUUCACUCCCCAGAUUGUCGUGCUGUUUUUCUUGGGGGGGGUGGUGCCUCGUCAUCAGUGUCCACACCUUGAAGCAUAUUUAACUCUAAAGGUCUGCACCUUCAAAAAAGUGUUGCGGCGGGCCCGUAGUGGUCUGGACUCUUCCAGCUGGCUCCUGCAGGGUCUUCAGCCUCUGACUGUAUGUCUGAUGUUAAACACAGUAAGGACUUUUUCAGCUAACCAAGACCCUCACGUCACCGUGCACGUCCCACGCUGCACCUGGAGGAAGGUGGUGCGCGACUGCCUUCUGGAGGCGGAUAUGAUCAUAAGAACUAGGAGGCCAGAAACAAUUCCAUGACUCCCCUGCCUCCUCCAACCAGCUGCUUGGCACUAUGGUAGUGCUCCUAUCUUUGAAUUCGACGACCUUCCACACCUGUGCCAUCUGUCAA
ensembl:lncRNA